UUUGCGGUUGAGGACGAAUAGUGCCGUACUGCCGUGCUGUUUUCGUUAUAAGGAAUUCAAUGAAAGUAAAGCGCUAUGUUGUGUCCUGCUCUCGUGGAGUACCGAUUAAAUGGAAAUGGCUGUAAACUAUUUAAAAAUCUGGCUCAUCAGUUGAUGUUUAGCGACGUACAAAACUUUUAUCGUUACCAUUACUUCGUUACGUUCUGUCUUAAACCUAAAAUUUCCAGAAAUUGAAGCAUAAAAUACUACGUGACCUUUACAAAACACCAAUAGAACUUCGGGCGUGUAUUAUGCUGAUGGAAUACUACUAUUGUAUGUUGGGUUUUGAGCAGGAAAACCUAGAUUAAAUUUUAAAGUCAGUAUGGCUACCUUCACAAUGCAGUUCAUAGUAACCUCCCUCGCGUUCUGUUCCUUUCUUUCCAGUCUUGAAGCAUUCGUUUACACUAACUCAAGGAGCACCGGUGUUUCAUUAUAUCUGCCUUAACUUGUUUUAAUGAUACGUCUAUGCUGUCUUUUGCGUAAAUACGGCAUAACUACUUGCAUCCUGUACUAAUGUUUACGUUUUUGUGGCCGUUUGUGUUUCUGAGCGCGGGAAUCGCUGCAACUCGAAGCAAUGGAUGUAGCAACGUUUUGCAGGGAACUUCCCAAAUUGGAACUUCAUGCUCACUUAAAUGGAUCGUUAAGUAGUAGAACCCUGAAUGCCCUUCGUCAACUACAGAACAGUUCAGACGCUAGCGGUGAUUCGUGGAAGAAAUGUGAAGCUAUCAUCAACCAUGGGAAUGAACGAACUUUAGAUGAGCAGUGUGUUGUCAUCGAAUAUGUCAAUGCAUGGAGAGAAACAUUCACAAAUAUGUGUGUGAAUCUGUGAAGCAUGUGCAGUCAACAGGAGUACAAUUGGUCAUGACACAGAG